UGGGGAAUUUUGGACAAUGGGCGCAAGCCUGAUCCAGCAAUGCCGCGUGCAGGAUGAAGGCCUUCGGGUUGUAAACUGCUUUUGUACGGAACGAAACGGCGAACUCUAAUAAAGUUUGCUAAUGACGGUACCGUAAGAAUAAGCACCGGCUAACUACGUGCCAGCAGCCGCGGUAAUACGUAGGGUGCAAGCGUUAAUCGGAAUUACUGGGCGUAAAGCGUGCGCAGGCGGUUAUAUAAGACAGAUGUGAAAUCCCCGGGGCUCAACCUGGGACCUGCAUUUGUGACUGUAUAGCUAGAGUACGGUAGAGGGGGAUGGAAUUCCGCGUGUAGCAGUGAAAUGCGUAGAUAUGCGGAGGGACACCGAUGGCGAAGGCAAUCCCCUGGACCUGUACUGACGCUCAUGCACGAAAGCGUGGGAGCAAACAGGAUUAGAUACCCUCGUAGUCCCUGAGCGGGCUGGCAAGGCGCAU
rnacentral:rRNA from 1 species